GGAUCUUCUACCCCGCAGUUAGGCUGAAUAUCUCGGUAGAAUCAGUCAGAAUGCAAUUGUUUGAAAGUUGGAUGAUGUGAUAUAUUGUGAUAUUUGUACAAGCAAACUCA